AUGUUGGUCUCCGGCCUUAUGAGAGUGGUCAUAACUUCAAUGUGGCUAGGAUCCAGUAUUGCCCAGAAGGUAACUCAAGGCCAACAACCAAUAUUGGUGCAGGAGAAGGAGGCUGUGAGCCUGGAUUGCACAUAUGUCACCAGUUCUACAAGUUAUAGUUUAUUUUGGUACAAGCAGCUCAGCAGUGGGGCGAUGAUUUUCCUUAUUCGUCAGGACUCUUACAACCAGCAAAAUGCCACAGGAGGCCGCUACUCAGUGAAUUUUCAGAAAGCAAAGAGUUCUGCCAACCUUGUCAUCUCAGCUUCACAGCUGGAGGACUCAGCAGUGUAUUUCUGUGCCCUGAGUGAUCCCACAGUGAGAGGCAUGUUAGAAGGAGGUGUACCAAAACCCCAGGGCUCUGCUUCAUGCAUCCACCUGCUGUAG